GGUCACGCGUGUGCCUGAGAUCCUGGGCUGUCACACGCCGGACUUCCAUCAGGCGGCAAAAGUGCCUUCACGACAGCGUCUUUAACUGCACCGAGCAAACCAAGGUCAAAUAAAAGUGGGUCAGCAAAGAACACGACAGCCCCAGCCCAAUAAAGGAAACUUCCAUGGUGCGCUGUAGGCCCAAAGCUACGUCUCAGCCUCACAGGGGUCUGACUCCACUGCAUUUGGAGGACCUGCGUCCAAGAGACUGUUCCUUACCAGCUGUGCGACACUCAAUCGCAUCUUGUCUUCUGGAACCCAGACACGGGCUGGGUUCCGUGUGGAAGCUGCGGCACAGCCGUGAGCACCAUGCCUCCAAGGGCGCAUAAGAACACAGUCACCAGCCCAGGGUGCACACAAACCCCCAAGCACCGCUUGGCUCCAGAGAAGGAAAAGAGCACCGGUCGCAGCAUGCUGUGCCUGCCUCAGAGCUAAAGAAAAGGACUUUGGGCUCAUACUGGGAAAAGAAUGAGACGUGUUCCACUGGUGCGGUGUGAUCAAUGCCACGGAGGGAGAGGACACAGAAGGAAGGGCAGCAGGGAGCAGAGGUGGCCACGAUGCAGUUCAACCCAAGAAGGGGCUGGGGAAGGGCUCAGAGAAGGCCACGUGGAGCUGGUCCCAGAGGGAUAAUCGAUACCAAUGACGAAGACGAUGGCAGCAGGCGCUUACUGCGCACUCACUUAUGCUAAGCACGGGACAAAACACUCCACUUGCUUUAUUGUAAACUCAUUUACUCCUUUAUUAGUGAGCCGCUGCUAUCUUCCCGCCACCAUCUCACGCACUGGGGACACAGCAGUGAACAAAAUAAACACUGGUCUCUGCCCUCGCAGCCUACCUUCUAUUGAGAAGAGAGACGAUAAGCCAAGUAAGAAAGUAAACUGCAGAAUAUGUUAGAUGACGCUAAGAGCUAAGAGGAAAAAGAAAACAAAAGGGAAACAGGGAAACAUCUGGGGGGCAGUGGGCUGAAUGGUACGACUUUACACAGGGUGGCAUGUGAGAAAAGACCUGAAGAAGGGGAGUGACCACACCAUACAAAUAUCUGGGGGAAUAGCAUUCAAGGCAGAGGGAGCAGUCAGAGGAAAGAGCCCGAGCCCGAAGCCAGCUUGCCGUGUUUGCGGAACAGCAAGGACUCUGAUGUGGCUGAAGUGGGGCAAGAGGUGGGCAGGUGGGAUCAGUGCAUUCGGCCACAUGAGUCGUGCACUGCGUAACUCGGGGUCGGGGGGGACACCACCCACAUGCACUAGUGAGCUACGCACGACCCAGCCUGCUUGGUUACCCACCAGGCCCUGAGCUGGGAGAUGGGGUCAGAGAAGCACCAGGCAGCCCUGGGGGCCGUGCUGAGGAUUUGGUUUUUCCUUUGAGUGAGACAGGAAGCUACUGUCAAGAGGGUUCUGAGCCAGAGGCACGACUUGAUUGGACCCCGGCUCACUGGGUGACUGGGCAGAGCGCAUACAGAGCAGGGUAAGGGUGGAAAUAAAAGACCACUGCAGAGGCUACGGCAACGAUCACACUCAAGUACAUAUAGUGUUCCCCUCCCAAUCCCAUGAGGGAUUUCUGCGCUCACUCUUGCAUAGAUGAAGACAUUGAGGCUCAGGAGAGAUCUGGUAACUUGCCCAAGGUCACUGGGUUAGGCAGUAGCAGAACCACCGGGAUUGGGAAGCAGGGGAAGAGAACGUUCUAGGUGGAGUGAACAGCACCAGCCGUGGAGCAGGAGCUUGGCAGGGCCUGCCACACUUAGGGAAGGGGAGGCUCAUGGUCCAGGGGAUCCAGAGCCCGAGGGAAAUCGACAAUGGCAGCCAGCGAAGGCCUGUCUGUUCCCUGUCUGCUCACACAGAUGCCUACCAGUGGCAUCCAAGCCCAUCUGGCUCCCUGGACCAGAACAAGCACCUCCUAACCCAGCUCCCUGCUCCAUGCUUAUCCCUCCCACUUCAGUCCAUGGGCAGCCAGAAGAACCUUUAGAAAACAUGAAUCACUUAUUGUCUUCGUGCUCUCAAUGCUCCAGUGGCUUCCCAUCAUACCAGGCACACGGGGGACCCUCAGAUGACAUUGAAUGAAUAGAUGACUCCCUCAUCCCUGCCGCCUCACUCAGGCACGUCCUGUUUCAAACCAGCGGAAAGGAUGACUUCUUCCUUCCCUCCUUAGCAGAGGGAGGCAAACUCAUGCUGAGGAGUGCAGGGGUGCCGGUCAGCCAGAAGUCCAGGCAGACGUCCUUGGUCUGCCUGGACCAAGCCAGGCCACCAUAUUAACCAGCUGAAACCCAUGAGGAGGGAGGGGAGCCAUUCAGACCACCUAAGACGCAACUUUUGGAGCCAACUUGUUUUAAACAAAACUGCUUAUUCCAAAGCAGACUGGACACUCUCCACCACGCUACGGCCAAGUAAAGGAGGCCUACACACGGCCCGGGCCAUGAUGACUGUAAGAGGCACACUCCACCCAGCAGCCUUGGCCCUGAGGCCGGCCAUGAAAGGCUUUCCUCACCGAGUCGCUGUAUUUAAGGGUGGACCCAAUGACUGAAGCCCUCCCUGAACACAGGGAACCCCAAAGUUGUCUCAGAAACUGAGGGAAAACUAUGAAACUAAGGUUGGGACAAAACUUGACAAAUUUCAGUCGGUCGAUAUUUGGGACCAAGGAGUAGAUUUCCCAAAGGAUGACGACCACUCCCGGGGUGUAAAUCCAGGCCCUCUCGGGGCCACACUCAUUCCAAAGCCCUUUGUUCUCCAUAGAAAAAGAUACACACACAUCCUUACACGUGCAUAUAUGCAGAUAUAUUUUUAAAGAAUUGGUAACAACACAGAACGGAUGAGACUAGUAAGAGACUAGUAAACAAGACCCCCCUCCCACAAGAAAAUUAACUGAGUAACAAAGGGCCUUCCUGUAGGCCCUGAUAGGAGAGUUAAAUGAUCACCGUGGGCAUGACUUAUCCUCUGGGUGGCAGAGAAGUGAGGGGGGGCUCUGGAAGCCAAGUGAGUCCCAGACUCCUUCAGGAGGCAGGUAACUUGGUUUCCCAUACUGCAUCAAGCCAGUGUGAGGCAAGUUCAAAGGCCUUGUUCUCUGAACAGGAAGACGGGAGAAGAAGGGUCAGAAAACACAGACAUUAAUAAGGGCUGUAGAAGGAAGGGUGCGGAGUCUUCAUGGGAGGCAGGGUCCUGUCUGUCCUGGUUUUUCAGAAAGAUGGGGCACAAAGAACAGGACCAAUGGCUGAGCCCUCGAUCUGACAGAGAAGUGUAAUAGAAAAGAAGACUCGACAAGGAAGCUCACAUCUCCCCAACUUCCAGCUUUUCUGGGCAGCCAAAAGCCAAGCCGACAGUGAUGCUCAAAGAUCCUGUAAGUGUCAGUGAUCAAGAGUUUCAGGACGGGCAAUGGCACAGUAAACUACCCUGAACACAUGCAAGACCAGACCUGGAGAACAGGGUGUCAGGGAGGGGGUUACUAUAACUAAAACGGCAACAACAAAAUAGAAGACCCUGUCCCUGAAAGGAUCAGUCCAAUAUCCUGCUAGAAGGACACGGAGAGGCUGGGCCUCGUUACAAGUUGUAAAUAAGAGAGAAAACACAAGCUUGGCCAUGGAAAAAGCUGCAGCGGGCACUGAUUGGGACUUCUUUGUGCAAACUGGCUCUUCGCUCUUCAGAAAAGAAGGAUGUGCCCCCGGGGUAUGCCUUGGCUUUUGCUCUCUCCACCUGUA